rnacentral:rRNA from 1 species
GUGAGGAAUAUUGCGCAAUGGAGGCAACUCUGACGCAGCCAUGCCGCGUGCAGGGAGAAGGCGCUACGCGUUGUAAACUGCUUUUAACCGGGAAGAAACUCCAGGACGUGUCCUGGGUUGACGGUACCGGAGGAAUAAGCACCGGCGACCUUCGUGCCAGCAGCCGCGGUAAUACGAAGGGUGCAAGCGUUAUCCGGAUUCAUUGGGUUUAAAGGGUGCGUAGGCGGAGCUUUAAGUCAGUGGUGAGAUCCUGCAGCUUAACUGUAGACUUGCCAUUGAUACUGGCGCGCGUGAGUGCGCUUGAAGUGGGCGGAAUGUGCCGUGUAGCGGUGAAAUGCUUAGAUAUGGCACAGAACACCAAUUGCGAAGGCAGCUCACUAAGGCGAUACUGACGCUGAGGCACGAAAGCGUGGGGAUCGAACAGGAGUAGAAACCCCUGUGGUCC